rnacentral:lncRNA from 1 species
UGCCGAAAGGGUUGGCCACGGCGAACACUUCUCGGAUAGCAUUUUUUUUCAUAAUCAUGAUACCGCUGCUCCACGUCUAAAAUGUCGACGGACUGGGGAUACAUGUCAACAUAUAUAUCCAACACUCUCAUAACGAAAUGAGUUUUUUUUUUUGAAAAUGACGAAAAAUUGCCGGUCUCUACAUCGAUCGAUGCACAACUAUGAUAUUAUUAAUGUUUUAGUGGUCGUACAAUCUCAAAAGACAAAACAAGAAUAAAACAUCUCUCAAAGGUUACAACUCAGAAAUAAAAUCAACUAGAAGAACAUAUCAGCCUUUCUGCCUAGGAUUGGUGCACCACCCAAACCGGUUGAACAAUUCCCGAAGGACCGUCUCCAACCAUCUCGUAACGAAAUGAGCUAC